UACGUAGGUGACAAGCGUUGUCCGGAUUUACUGGGCGUAAAGAGCGCGCAGGCGGUCGAUCAAGUCGAGUGUGAAAGCCCCCGGCUCAACUGGGGAGGGUCAUUCGAUACUGAUCGACUCGAAGGCAGGAGAGGGUAGUGGAAUUCCCGGUGUAGUGGUGAAAUGCGUAGAUAUCGGGAGGAACACCGGUGGCGAAGGCGGCGACCUGGGUAGAUACUGACGCUGAGGUGCGAAAGCGUGGGGAGCAAACAGG
rnacentral:rRNA from 1 species